CAAGAAAUGAGCAGCAGUAAAAUCAUGGGCUCUACGUUAGGCAAAAUGUGGACGGCAACCAACAUUCAGGCAAACUGCUCUGACCUGAGACGACGAAUCAGACAAGUUUGUCCAACUGCUGAUAAAGUGUUGACUGAUGUAGGUGUUGAGGACGUAGAGCUACUCAGUUUGACAAGGCAAGAUUUAUAUGAACUGCUUCCAGGUACCGAGAACUUUCAAGUCCGACGACAGAUCAUGGAAAUGAUAACGGAAGCAGCACAGGUAGCCUAUUGUCCUGUACAAAAGACCUGAGAACCCCAAAAUCUGCAAGUGUGCACGUCAUCAUGUGACAGUAUAGCCUAUACAUCUA